rnacentral:other from 1 species
UAUCAGCUGCGUUGUGCGUAAUCUUAAUAAAGUUUUAACCUUUAAGCUGAAAUAGGGAGUUUUAACAUUGAAGCGGGAAUAUCAUGCCUCAUCGCUAUGAGGACGAUAGGAGCGUUUCUGCAAACACCCACUUUAUGGAGUGGUGGUUUUAAAACUUCAUUAAAUGUACGGCAAACGCGGCCUUUCC